rnacentral:rRNA from 1 species
CAACAGGGAUUGCCUCAGUAACGGCGAGUGAAGCGGCAACAGCUCAAAUUUGAAAUCUGGCCUCGGCCCGAGUUGUAAUUUGUAGAGGAAGCUUUUGGUGCGGCACCGACCGAGUCCCCUGGAACGGGGCGCCAUAGAGGGUGAGAGCCCCGUAUGGUUGGACGCCUAUCCUCUGUAAAGCUCCUUCGACGAGUCGAGUAGUUUGGGAAUGCUGCUCAAAAUGGGAGGUAAAUUUCUUCUAAAGCUAAAUACUGGCCAGAGACCGAUAGCGCACAAGUAGAGUGAUCGAAAGAUGAAAAGCACUUUGAAAAGAGGGUUAAAUAGCACGUGAAAUUGUUGAAAGGGAAGCGCUUGUGACCAGACUUGCGCCUCGUCGAUCAUCCGGGGUUCUCCCCGGUGCACUCGGCGGGGCUCAGGCCAGCAUCGGUUCUCGCUGGGGGACAAAGGCUCCGGGAACGUGGCUCCUUCGGGAGUGUUAUAGCCCGGGGCGCAAUGCCCUCGCGGGGACCGAGGACCGCGCUUCGGCAAGGAUGCUGGCGUAAUGGUCAUCAGCGACCCGUCUUGAAACACGGACCAAGGAGUCAAGGUUUUGCGCGAGUGUUUGGGUGUAAAACCCGCACGCGUAAUGAAAGUGAACGUAGGUGAGAGCUUCGGCGCAUCAUCGACCGAUCCUGAUGUACUCGGAUGGAUUUGAGUAGGAGCGUUAAGCCUUGGACCCGAAAGAUGGUGAACUAUGCUUGGAUAGGGUGAAGCCAGAGGAAACUCUGGUGGAGGCUCGCAGCGGUUCUGACGUGCAAAUCGAUCGUCAAAUCUGAGCAUGGGGGCGAAAGACUAAUCGAACCAUCUAGUAGCUGGUUACCGCCGAAGUUUCCCUCAGGAUAGCAGUGUUGAUCUUCAGUUUUAUGAGGUAAAGCGAAUGAUUAGGGACUCGGGGGCGCUUUUUAGCCUUCAUCCAUUCUCAAACUUUAAAUAUGUAAGAAGCCCUUGUUACUUAAUUGAACGUGGGCAUUCGAAUGUACCAACACUAGUGGGCCAUUUUUGGUAAGCAGAACUGGCGAUGCGGGAUGAACCGAACGCGGGGUUAAGGUGCCGGAGUGGACGCUCAUCAGACACCACAAAAGGCGUUAGUACAUCUUGACAGCAGGACGGUGGCCAUGGAAGUCGGAAUCCGCUAAGGACUGUGUAACAACUCACCUGCCGAAUGUACUAGCCCUGAAAAUGGAUGGCGCUCAAGCGUCCCACCCAUACCCCGCCCUCAGGGUAGAAACGAUGCCCUGAGGAGUAGGCGGCCGUGGAGGUCAGUGACGAAGCCUAGGGCGCGAGCCCGGGUCGAACGGCCUCUAGUGCAGAUCUGG